rnacentral:lncRNA from 1 species
CCAUGUUGACCAGGAUGGUCUCAAUCUCUUGACCUCAUGAUCCACCCGCCUCGGCCUCCCAAAGUGCUGGGAUUACAGGCUUGAGCCACCGCGCCCGGCUUUUCAUUCGUUUCUUUAGGCAUGAAUCCCUGAGAUAUGUCCCAAUACUACAAGACAAUUUGAUGUUAUAAUAAAACACGACAGACAUAAUGCUGCAUGAAGAAGAGUAAAAAUGGGAAGACUUCGUUGUGUGGAAAGUGAGUUCUUGAAAAACGGAGAUACUUCAUGAGGGCAUGGAAAGCUAAGGUCUGUCCACAAUACGACAAGACUAUUUGACAUCAUAAUAAAACACUGCAGAUAUGAUGCUGAGUGAUGAAGAGUAGAAAUGGGAAGACGGUUGUGCAGAAACUGAGUUCUUGAAAAUAGGAGAUGCUUAAUGAAGGCACGAAUCCCUAAGUUCUGGCUGCAAUACUACAAGACUGCUUGAUGUCAUAAUAAAACACGAUAUAUAUGAUGCUGAUAAGAGUAGAAAUGGGAAGACUUGGUUGUGCAGAAACCAAGGAGGAGUUGCUUGAUGAGGGCAUGGAUCCCAAAGGUCUGUUCCCAAUACUACAAGUCUAUUUAGUAUCAUAAUAAAGCACUGCAGGUAGGAUGCUGAAAGAAGAAGAGUAGAAACGGGUAGACUUCGUUGUGCAGAAACUGAGUUCUUAAACAGAGAAGAUGCUUGAUGAGGGUGAGUGGAUCACAUCUCAGUUCAAUAUCCAAAGGAAUCCAAAAGCAAAUGUUUAAGAGUGGAAAUUGUUUGCACAUAUUGAGCAAAAUAUUAUGUAGCUGUAGUUUCUGAUGUCUUUGUCUCUUCACAGCCUUUUGUUUUGAAACAUAUGGUAACGUAUCGGUAAAAAUUCAAACAAAAAGUUGAUAGUGCUACUUUUCUAAAGUAAUAUUCCUGAGGCCCUGUUUUAAGAUUUACCUUUAUUCAUACUGAAGGAUGAAAUGUUGACAUAUAAGACUUAGUACUGGUAACAUUCAAAUGAAUUCGUGCUCCUCAAAGGUUUAUUAAAAUGCACACUUGAUCUGAUCCAAACCACAGUGUACACAGUAAUCCACUUUUAAUACAGAUUUAUUUUUUCAUAAAAUUAACAAUGUAUAUACAUAUCUAAAGAGAUUCCUUGAAAUAAUCCAAAAAUUCAUGAGCUUCCUUGACUAGUUGUAUGAUAGCAGUUUUCUUUGUUAUUAAUACGUGGACUAAUCUUAAUAUUUGUCAAGCAUUAUUAUUUAAUUUACAAGUUAAUCCUUAUACCUAAAAGACAAAUUGUAAAACUCUGAGACACACAAACACAAACACACACAGCCCAUAAAUUCUCAGGUAAUUCUUGAAGAAUAUGUAAUGACCUGGGAACAUGCUGUGUUUUAAUGUUGAAUGUUGAGACCAUGAGACGAAACUCUGAGUCACCUUGACAGGAAUUGAACUAUGAGUAUCAUGCCAUGUGGAGUAUGUAUGACACGCAGUAAUGAGCGUCACCUGGUUUCUCCUCUAAUGGCUCAUGCCAAAUUGUUG